GAUGAACGCUGGCGGCGUGCUUAACACAUGCAAGUCGAACGAAGCACUUUAUUUGAUUUCCUUCGGGACUGAUUAUUUUGUGACUGAGUGGCGGACGGGUGAGUAACGCGUGGGUAACCUGCCUUGUACAGGGGGAUAACAGUUGGAAACGGCUGCUAAUCCCGCAUAAGCGCCCGGCAUCGCAUGAUGCUGUGUGCAAAACUCCGGUGGUAUAAGAUGGACCCGCGUUGGAUUAGCUAGUUGGUGCGUUAACGGCCCACCACGGCGACGAUACAUAGACGACCUGUGAGGGUGACCGGCCACAUUGGGACUGAGACACGGCCCAAAAUACUACGGGAGGCAGCAGUGGGGAAUAUUGCACAAUGGGCGAGAGGCUGAUGCAGCGACGCCGCGUGAGCGAAGAAGUAUUUAGGGAUGUAAAGCUCUAUAAGCAGGGAAGAUAAUGACGGUACCUGACUAAGAAGCACCGGCUAAAUACGUG
rnacentral:rRNA from 1 species